UACGUAGGUGACAAGCGUUGUCCGGAUUUACUGGGCGUAAAGAGCGCGCAGGCGGUCGUUCAAGUCGAGUGUGAAAGCCCCCGGCUCAACUGGGGAGGGUCACUCGAUACUGAUCGACUUGAAGGCAGGAGAGGGAAGCGGAAUUCCCGGUGUAGUGGUGAAAUGCGUAGAUAUCGGGAGGAACACCAGUGGCGAAGGCGGCUUCCUGGCCUGCUCUUGACGCUGAGGCGCGAAAGCUAAGGGGAGCAAACGGGG
rnacentral:rRNA from 1 species